GAAGCUGGAGACUGCUGAUACUGCUGCUCAAACGGCUGCUGCUGUUACUCUCUGCUGCUACCAUGGUCGUUGCUUUGUAUCAAUGGCGAAAAUUCUCAGAUGAGCUUUGGGUCCGGGCACUAGAACCCUGCUGCUGCCUCUGCAGCAGUUGUAGAAAGUUUUAUAAUACCAGUGUCAAUGGUGAACUUCUGCUCUUUUUUUAUCCCAGACACUUUGUGCUCAAGAGACUGUUAGGUCUUUGUGGUGUUGUCGUUGCUGUUUGGUUAUACUAGUUGGCGUCUGUUUGGAAAUAUAUUGUGCUUUUCUGUAUGUUCAUGUGAACGUAGAAGCCCUCACCGACACCAACACUACGUCGCUGUGUUGUUUUCUUCCAAGGUCGGGCACAGUAAAGGAGACGACUCUGUAUCAAGACACUACCCAGAGGGAGGAUGUUGGCCUUCUCCUGAUGGGAAAAUGUCUUCUUUCUCAAGGCGUGGCCAGGACUGCACUGACCCUACCAUCCACUCUACCUCUCCGGAAAGGGACUUGACAACCAGUCAAGAUGGAAGUGCAGAGAUAUACCAGCGCUUCUAGCAUUAACUGCCAAUUUGCACUGACGCAGCAAGACUCCCCAACAGUCAACGGCUCGAAAGGUUGUUCUGUCUCUGGGAACGUGGAACGUCAGGACUCUUGUCGACACUGACGGAAAUUUGAAUACGGCGUCCAAAGCAAAAAAAUCAAGGAAAGUUUGUUCGAAUAUUCGCGAGGAGAGAAAAAUUGCCGCCGCCGU